rnacentral:rRNA from 1 species
UCGAGCGAACGGACGAGAAGCUUGCUUCUCUGAUGUUAGCGGCGGACGGGUGAGUAACACGUGGAUAACCUACCUAUAAGACUGGGAUAACUUCGGGAAACCGGAGCUAAUACCGGAUAAUAUUUUGAACCGCAUGGUUCAAAAGUGAAAGACGGUCUUGCUGUCACUUAUAGAUGGAUCCGCGCUGCAUUAGCUAGUUGGUAAGGUAACGGCUUACCAAGGCAACGAUGCAUAGCCGACCUGAGAGGGUGAUCGGCCACACUGGAACUGAGACACGGUCCAGACUCCUACGGGAGGCAGCAGUAGGGAAUCUUCCGCAAUGGGCGAAAGCCUGACGGAGCAACGCCGCGUGAGUGAUGAAGGUCUUCGGAUCGUAAAACUCUGUUAUUAGGGAAGAACAUAUGUGUAAGUAACUGUGCACAUCUUGACGGUACCUAAUCAGAAAGCCACGGCUAACUACGUGCCAGCAGCCGCGGUAAUACGUAGGUGGCAAGCGUUAUCCGGAAUUAUUGGGCGUAAAGCGCGCGUAGGCGGUUUUUAAGUCUGAUGUGAAAGCCCACGGCUCAACCGUGGAGGGUCAUUGGAAACUGGAAAACUUGAGUGCAGAAGAGGAAAGUGGAAUUCCAUGUGUAGCGGUGAAAUGCGCAGAGAUAUGGAGGAACACCAGUGGCGAAGGCGACUUUCUGGUCUGUAACUGACGCUGAUGUGCGAAAGCGUGGGGAUCAAACAGGAUUA